UUUGACAGCUUACGUCUGGCUAAGCUUGGUUAAACUUUUAGCCACACUUUUACUCUAGGAAAAUUGACGUAAGCAAGUAGUUUACCAGUAGAAAAAGCUGACAAAAUUAAAGUGCCAGUCAACCACACUACAAGAAGCAGCUAAUUGCAGUUUUGUAAAUGCCAGUAAUUAUGAGAACUAGCUUUGACGUUAGCACUGAGUUAGCAACCGAAGCAGGGUCAAGUGAGGCUAGCGCUUUUGCAGUCUCUCGCGACAUGUCCACUGCCCCUGUCCUCGCCCCAAGUACUUCAGAGCCUGCUAUCAGUGGGAGAAUUAAGCUGUUUAAUUCUAUGACCUCGGAGUGGAUAAACCAAACUCUUGGAUUGUUUUCCAGCUGAGGUCCUCGUUUUUGCUACCACACCAACACAGAGCCUGGGUUGAAAACUCUGAAAGGCGAUACUGUUAACACCAGAGCGGCACCCUCGGACAUCAACUUCAUCUGGGAAACGUCAUUAGGCCCACCGACAGCUGAAACACCAACAUUUGAAGUUUGAGCAGAUGUUGUGUCCUGAAGGGACGGAGCUCAAUCUUUAUUCGUCCCAGGAGAAGAACUGCUGCCUCACGCCCGAACAGUGUGGAAAAGGUGUGAUCAUGAAAAAGCACACAGAGUGGACGCACAUCGUGAGGUAAUGGUGUGUAAAAAAAACUGUAGAGCCGUGAACAAUAUUCUCCAUGAACAGAAUAUCAUUGCGCUCGUCAUGCAUGUCCGGUGACGUGCUGCAUCAUUUGGGCUGAUACAUGAGGCCCAUUAAAAGGUUUCACUUGGUGGCAGACUCUAUUUUUCAGCAGAAUCUGAAUGCAGGGAAAAAGGCUGUACUUGUGUAUUCAACU